rnacentral:rRNA from 1 species
UACGGAGGGUGCUAGCGUUGUUCGGAAUUACUGGGCGUAAAGCGCACGUAGGCGGCGAUUCAAGUCAGAGGUGAAAGCCCGGGGCUCAACCCCGGAACUGCCUUUGAAACUAGAUUGCUAGAAUCCUGGAGAGGUGAGUGGAAUUCCGAGUGUAGAGGUGAAAUUCGUAGAUAUCAGGAGGAACACCGGUGGCGAAGGCGGCCACCUGGGCCGGUACUGACGCUGAGACGCGAAAGCGUGGGGAGCAAACAGG